rnacentral:rRNA from 1 species
AAAGUCCCGGCUAACUACGUGCCAGCAGCAGCGGUGAAACGUAGGGGGUAAGCGUUAUCCGGAUUUAUUGGGCGUAAAGAGUGUGCAGGCGGUCAGGUAAGUUCUCCGUUAAAGCCCAAGGCUCAACCUUGGAACUGCGGGGAAUACUGCUUGACUUGAGGAAGGUAGGGGCUGUCGGAACUUGGAGAGGAGGGGUGAAAUCCUAUGAUCCUCCAAGGAACACCAAAGGCGAAGGCAGACGGCUGGGCCUUUCCUGACGCUGAGGCACGAAAGCUAGGGGAGCGAAACGGAUUAGAUACCCGUGUAGUCCUAGCUGUAAACGAUCCCCGCUAGAUUUCGGCGUUUGCCGGAGUCGAAGCUAACGCAUUAAGCGGGGCGCCUGGGGAGUAC